rnacentral:rRNA from 1 species
CUGGCUCAGGAUGAACGCUAGCGGCAGGCUUAACACAUGCAAGUCGAGGGCAUCGGGAGUAGCAAUACUUGCCGGCGACCGGCGCAAGGGUGCGUAACGCGUGAGCAACAUGCCCGUAUCAGGGGGAUAAUCCAUGGAAACGUGGUCUAAUACCCCAUAGUAAUUAUGUAAGGCAUCUUAUAUAAUUUAAAGCUUUGGUGGGUACGGAUUGGCUCGCGUGACAUUAGCUAGAUGGUAAGGUAACGGCUUACCAUGGCUACGAUGUCUAGGGGUUCUGAGAGGAAGGUCCCCCACACUGGAACUGAGACACGGUCCAGACUCCUACGGGAGGCAGCAGUGAGGAAUAUUGGACAAUGGAUGGAAAUCUGAUCCAGCCAUGCCGCGUGCCAGGAAGACGGCCCUAUGGGUUGUAAACUGCUUUUGUAUGGGAGCAAUAAGGGCUACGCGUAGUCCGAUGAGAGUACCAUACGAAUAAGCACCGGCUAACUCCGUGCCAGCCGCGGC